rnacentral:tRNA from 1 species
ACCUUUAUGGUGCAGUGGUGACAGCACGCUUGACGCGUAUUCGAGAGGUCCGUGGUUCGAAUCUCGGCAAGGGUA